rnacentral:rRNA from 1 species
GACGAACGCUGGCGGCGUGCUUAACACAUGCAAGUCGAACGGAAAGGCCCUGCUUUUGUGGGGUGCUCGAGUGGCGAACGGGUGAGUAACACGUGAGUAACCUGCCCUUGACUUUGGGAUAACUUCAGGAAACUGGGGCUAAUACCGGAUAGGAGCUCCUGCUGCAUGGUGGGGGUUGGAAAGUUUCGGCGGUUGGGGAUGGACUCGCGGCUUAUCAGCUUGUUGGUGGGGUAGUGGCUUACCAAGGCUUUGACGGGUAGCCGGCCUGAGAGGGUGACCGGCCACAUUGGGACUGAGAUACGGCCCAGAGUCCUACGGGAGACAGCAGUGGGGAAUAUUGCACAAUGGGCGGAAGCCUGAUGCAGCAGCGCCGCGUGCGGAAUGACGGCCUUCGGGUUGUAAACCGCUUUCGCCUGUUACGAAGCGUGAGUGACGGUAAUGGGUAAAGAAGCACCGGCUAACUACGUG